GAGGGUAUAGCUCAAGUGGUAGAGCGCAUGCUUAACAUGCAUGAGGUGCUGGGUUCAGUCCCGAGUACCUCCU
rfam:Camelus ferus unplaced genomic scaffold scaffold597, whole genome shotgun sequence.